GAUGAACGCUGGCGGCGUGCCUAACACAUGCAAGUCGAACGAACCUGAUCUUCGGAAAGGUUAGUGGCGUACGGGUGAGUAACACGUGGGUGACCUGCCCUGGAGUGGGGGAUAACUUCUCGAAAGAGAGGCUAAUACCGCAUAUGCUCGGCCAUUCGGUUGGUCGAGUAAAGCUCCGGCGCUCCAGGAGGGGCCUGCGUCCGAUUAGCUAGUUGGUGAGGUAAUGGCUCACCAAGGCGAUGAUCGGUAGCUGGUCUGAGAGGACGAUCAGCCACACUGGCACUGACACACGGGCCAGACUCCUACGGGAGGCAGCAGUGAGGAAUAUUGGUCAAUGGGCGAAAGCCUGAACCAGCAACGCCGCGUGAGGGAUG
rnacentral:rRNA from 1 species